rnacentral:lncRNA from 1 species
UGAUGUGCGAGAUAAACUUUCUCCCUCCUAUUUUUGAUGGGUAAAAAGAUAAGAUAUGAAAAAGAGAUUGAGAUAGAAAAUCCUUAAUGCAUCACUAUCUCUUCACUUUUUUAAAUUAAAAAAUAAAAUAAAAACUAGAGUUUCUUAGCACUAAGUCUUCCAAAUUUUAGAAGACAUAUUCUAUUAUAUUUGGCUUAUCUCCUUCGCUUAUGAUCACUACCUAAUCAAGCCAAACUUAAAAAAACCUAGAUCAUUAGGCUAGAUUUG